AGACGUUGUAGCCUGUGAAAGAAGCUCAACAAAAAUGGUAUGCAACACAUUCAUUAUCGAGCAGAGCGAAUCUCUUCGCUCUGAUAAUUAAAAUGCUCAAUGAGCGAGAAAUUUCAGGCGAAUUUCUCAACAGCUCAAUGUGCAGCUGCAAUUUAGAUGAAAUGCGACAAGCCGACGAAAGUAAGGGUUUCGUGCAAGCCCUCAGCAUCUGCAAAGAAGUAGAAGAAGACUGGUUAAAAAGAAGGCCUCCAAGCCCAAGCCCAAGCCCAAGGGGCCCUGCCACUCAGCCAAAAGUUUUUAGCACAGAGCACCGCUGCUAAGUCCAAGGCUGUGAAGAAGCCUACUGCUCCAUCUCCUCUGAAGAAGGAAGAUAAGUGCCCACAUUUGGUCCGAAGAAGAAAGCGGCUCCUGUAAUGGAAAAUUAUGUGAGAUCAACAGGUCCACCUAUGAAGAUUUUUGUUUACAAUUUUAUUCAAAAUCCCAGAAGGUAAACAAAGAGAGGCACAGGAAUAUUGUAAAGGCUUAAAAAUGAGUGUCUGGGAUCAAGAAAUGUCCAUGGCGGGUUGUGUCUGGUUGCAGUCACAUUAAG